AAAUGAAGAAAAAGAAGGAUGAGGCAGCUAAAAAGAAGAAGAUGAAGAAAUAGAUGACUUAUCUUUUUGGUUUCUUUCUGUUGGUGCACUCCAUUCAAUUUU
rnacentral:ribozyme from 11 species